AGUAUUACAACCAUAUCCUUGCAGGUAUAGGAAACAGCAAUAUGCAAUAUGAUUUUAAUAUUUGCAAUAUAUUAGUGUUCUGACAAUGGAAAAGUUCCUAACCACAUGUCUGUAUUACACCUAUGACCCAGACUGUCAGUAUUGCAAACCCCAUAUGAAGACUCUGCUUUCACUGUUUAUGUAUACACCCCUAGACAACCGUGCUAUACAAACACAAAUCUUCAAAAGCUUAUUAAUAUUAUAUCUGUGUGGUACACAAAUAGGUGUACACAAAGAGGGGGUGUGAGUUAAGUCAUCUCGACCUUCAUAUGGAAUAUGCUUCCUCCUUGUUCACUUUUGGUCAAACUGUUGGUCUGUGACUGGCCCUCUUUGAACUGAAUUUCUUGGGAAGAUUCAUGAGAAAGAU